GGAAAUGCAAAAUGCCAAAGGUGAUCCUGAUUUUGCAACUCAGGAAGGAAACCGGAGCCAUUACAGUAACAAGCCAGUAGACCUUAGCACAGCUUGCCUUUGCUGGGCAAGGAACUGCUGAGUAGAGGUGGGAUCCAAAAUACCAGUGAGCUUUCUUAUGGGCGUGGGGUGGGGCACUUAAUGUUUCAGUUCUUGCUAAACCCUGCAAAACUGCAUCUGACAUUGCUUGGGGUAGGACAGAGGCUAACACAGCUGCUGAGUAAGCAUCACUGCUAGGCUUUAAAAUAUCUGUAGACUAUGACAGAAUUGCUGAAGUAACAAGCUGCUGAGCUAGCAUAAUAAAUAGAAUGUAGCAAAAAUAAUGCAAUAACAUCGUGGUUAAGACAGCUGUAAAUGAAAGAAAAGGGAAGGGCUGUCUCUCAGCCAGUUUCAAAGGGCUGGCUCCCCAGUCCCUUGUAUUUGGACUGGAAUGAAUUCAGCAAAAUAGCAGAAAGACAGUCUGGACAGCUGCGAACACAAGUGGUAGCUGGUCACAGUGUUGUGAGAUAAAAGACAACUCAGAAAUUCAUCAAGGUCGGGUCAGCAGAAGAGGAUCAGCAUUGCAGGUGCCAGGGGCUGAGAACUGCCUCUUGUAAAGGAUCACGGUUAGAAAAGAAGAAUUAGAUCAGAGCAUCUCCUCAUCUUCCUCUCAGAGGAAAGUUCAGAUCUUGGAUUCAUAAGCCUUCUGGAGGCUCCACAUCCCUCCUGGAAGAAAUUAUCCAAAUUUAAUACUGUAACGGCUUGUUUGGCAUUCUUCAUGAAUGAGCAGGAGAUGGAAAGGAAGGAAGGAACCUUUCAGAAGUGGAUCUGCACUGAUCAGAUGCUCCUAUGACAACACUAAACUGAAUGAGUGAAUGAAAAGAGAGAAGGGAAAUAAAAGAUGACUUCUACAAACAAUAAAAAAAGGCACAUGACUACACCAAUUACAAUAACUGAGCUUUAGUCCUUCUCUGCCUUGGGAAAAUGAGAAAGAGAAAGAGAAAGAGGACAAAGAAAAAGAAAAAGAAAAAAGAAAAAGAAAAAGAAAAAGAAAAAGAAAAAGAAAAAGAAAAAGAAAAAGAAAAAGAAAAAGAAAAAGAAAAAGAAAAAGAAAAAGAAAAAGAAAAAGAAAAAGAAAAAGAAAAAGAAAAAGAAAAAGAAGAAGAAGAAGAAAAAGAAAAAUAAAAAUAAAAAGAAAAAGAAAAAAAGUAACCUGUCUUCCUGUAUUAGACAUCAGAGCUUUUGCAAAUGCAGUUUACACCUCACCUAUGGAUCCUUACUUAGCACUUUUCUGAUUUAGCCACAACUAAAUCUCACAAUUUCCUUGCAAUUUAAAGUAGAUCUGAUUAAAGAGUGCAAUAGAAAAUUUUAAUCAUCUUGCUGGGAAAAACUGAGAUAGCUGUUCUCUGAUUUUUAUUGGGUUUAUUCUAUCAUUUAAACUGGGAAAGCUUGAAGUAUAUGAGGAAGCUCCAAUGUUUUAGUUAUACUCAUUUGUAUGUGCUAACAUUUCUUUGUUGAUUUUGCUUUACGUUAUCGUUGACUAUAAGAAUCACAGACAUUAGUGAUCAAAGGCACAGAUUAGUUCAUCUGACCUUUUUUAUCCUAGCACUGGUUUUGUUUUGCCCAUAUCAUAUCUGAAUACUUUGUCCAGUCUAAUUUUACAUGACCCUUUUCCACUUCUUCUUAAGGUUUGCAGAGCUAUUUCUGUUGAUAUUCAUCCAGCAUUUUGCUGUACUCAGUUUAAUUGAAAUACUUCCACUUAAUACUCCCCCAGAUUAUGCUAAAAAUAUGUUUUUUUUCUGUUUCUCAGGCAAAUUUUUAACCACUGAAACACAUAGGCAGCUCUUUCUGAAGCCAACAGGAUAUGUGUCUUAAAGGAUGAAUCUGGCUCUUAAUAUUUACAGUAACAGUAAUUCCCCUACCCUCUUUAUCAUUCUUGAAGAAAUAGAGAUUAUAUGGGAAAUUUCAAAUAAAAUCAGAUAUGUCUCUUUGUGUGUCUAAUUCAGAUGUUAUAAUAAUCCUUUUCUCAGCACCUGUUUCCUAAAAGAAUACCCAUAACUUAAAAAAAAACAACAAAACACACCCAAAGCUUGAUGCCAAAUGUAUGGAGAGAGGAAAGAAGCACAGAAAGGCAUACAAAAGAAUCUGCAUAGUACUGCUUAGAGCUAAGGAAUAAGGAAUAUUGAAUGCAAUGGUUUAAGUAGAAUUUCUCUCAUCAAUGAAUCUGUGGCUUCUCAGCACCUGGUAACUGCUUCUAGCCACUCAAAAUAUAGCAUCUCAGAUAGUUGUUCUUUUUUUUUUUUAAGGAAACAAGACUUAUUCUUCUAUUCUAAAGUAUAACCCAUAAAAAAUAUCACCAACAAUUAAAAACCAACCAACCAACCAAAAUCAAACCUGAUCAUCUUAUAAAACUGCUCAUGCUGAGGAGAAAUGAACAGCAGACAUGAGCUUCUGAACCCUAGUAGAGUAGCUUCUGCAUCCAAGGAGAAAGCUGUAAGCAGUGUUCACAAGCUUUCUUCCUUUAGAAGUGCUCCAGUGUGUGUACAAUGUUGAAUUACUUGUGGACCAAUAUGAAAACAAAUCAAAACAAAACCAGAGGUUAGUUACCUUUCUGGUGGACUAUAAGAAUUAUUUCUGAUGUAUUUUCUACCUAGAUUUUUUUUUUUUUUUUUUUUUUUUGUGAAAACUGCUAUAUUCACAUAAUUCUAUGACUUCAGAAGCUGAAGCUACAGAAAAAAACAACCACUGCAAAUAGCCAUUAGAAACAACAAAAAAAUUAAAGUUGGCAGUACUCACAUGUAAUGUUUUUCAUCCAAGGACUUCAAAGGAUUUGACAAAAUUAAAUUAGAUCUCUCAAUACUCAUGAGGAUCAGAUAGUCUGUUCUUAUAUAAGGGAAAAGAGAGAUUCGGGAAUAUUAGAUAUUUCAGCCAAGUUCACAAAACAAACUAGACUUAGAGCUGAGAGAAGAAUUCAAUAGUUCUCUUAACAUUCUUCUCUGUCCAUUAUGUGCACUCCCACAUUUCUGAGAUUUAAAUUCAACAUCAACUCAAAAAUCCUUCAUACAGAUCUAAACUUUCACACAACCUUAUAUCUUUUUAUAAAAUCAUUAAAUCAUUUUAGUUGAAAGAGACCCUCAAGAUUCUCAAGUCCAACUGUUUUGGUACAUUCUCUCACUGUUCUCUUUUUAUCUCUGAUAUUCAGCAAUUGUAAUAAUUUCCUAUAAGUAAGAUUUGCAAUUAUAUAAUUCAACCUCUGUUUUUGUCGCAAAUUAAGUGGCUUUGCAAUCCUGAUCAAAAUCCUUGGGAAAAUACUUGUCCAUGUCUCCUGUUCUUUCAUACCUAAUAAAUACUUCAAAAUAA